UACAGAGGUCCCAAGCGUUGUUCGGAUUUACUGGGCGUAAAGGGUGCGUAGGCGGUCAAAAAAGUCUGAUGUGAAAUCUCGGAGCCUAACUCCGAAACUGCAUUGGAAACUGUUUGACUUGAGGAGUGGAGGGGAGACUGGAAUUCUCGGUGUAGCAGUGAAAUGCGUAGAUAUCGAGAGGAACACCAGUGGCGAAGGCGAGUCUCUAGACAUUUCCUGACGCUGAGGCACGAAAGCCAAGGGAGCAAACGGGAUUAGAUCCCCCGGUAGUCUUGGCUGUAAACGGUGCGCAUUUGCUGUGGGCGGAUUCGACCCCGCCAGUGGCGAAGCUAACGCGAUAAAUGCGCCGCCUGGGGAGUACGGUCGCAAGAUUA
rnacentral:rRNA from 1 species